rnacentral:rRNA from 1 species
UGAGGAUUUGAUCCUGGUCCAGGACGAACGCUAGCGGCGUGCUUUAAGCAUGCAAGUGGAACGGUCCGUCGCAAGACGGAAAGUCGCGAACGGCUGAGUAACACGUAGGAACCUACCCUUUGGUGUGGAAUACCUCCGAGAAAUCGGAGCUAAUACCGCAUGACCCACGUUCAGUUACAUGAACGUGGAAAAGGAUAUAACUAUUCACCGAAGGAGGGGCCUGCGGCCUAUCAGCUAGUUGGUGGGGUAACGGCCUACCAAGGCUACGACGGGUAGGGGACGUGAGAGCGUGAACCCCCAGAAUGGCACUGAGACACGGGCCAUACACCUACGGGUGGCAGCAACUGGGAAUCGUGCGCAAUGGACGAAAGUCUGACGCCGCGACGCCGCGUGAGGGAUGACAGCCUUCGGGUUGUAAACCUCUUUUAUUUAGUCCGAGAGGACUUUUUGAAUAAGCACCGGCUAACUCCGUGCCAGCAGCAGCGGUAAUACGGAGGGUGCAAGCGUUGUCCGAAUUUAUUGGGCGUAAAGAGUUCGUAGGCGCCCCGCCGCAUCUUAUUUCAAAUACCAGAGCUUAACUUUGGAAAGGGAUAAGAGAUGGGCGGGGUUGAAGAGCGUGGGGGCUACUGGAACUUACGGUGUAGGAGUGAAAUCCGUUGAUAUCGUAAGGAACACCGAGGGCGAAGGCAAGUAGCUAGGCGCUAUUUGACGCUGAGGAACGAAAGCUAGGGGAGCGAAAGGGAUUAGAGACCCCUGUAGUCCUAGCCGUAAACGAUGCUCGCUAGGGAUCCGCCCUACAAAGAACAGGUUCUUUACGUGUUUUUUGUAGGGUAGGUCCCGUAAGCUAACGCGUUAAGCGAGCCGCCUGGGGAGUACGAGCGCAAGCUUAAAACUCAAAGGAAUUGACGGGGACCCGCACAACCAGUGGAGCAUGUGGUUUAAUUCGAGACGAACCGAAGAACCUUACCUGGACUUGACAUCUUGCCGUUUUAUUCUGAUAGAAAUAUCGGGAGAUCCUUCGAAAGUUGGAUGGUAGGACAGGUGUUGCAUGGCUAUCGUCAGCUCGUGUCGUGGGAUGUUCCCUUCAGUGGGGUAACGAGCGCAACCCUCGCCGUAUGUUAAAUUGUUCAUACGGGACUGGUCGCCUUUGGCGACAGGAAGUGGGGACGACGUUAAGUCAGCAUGGCCCUUAUGUCCAGGGCAACACACAUGCUACAAUGAAGCCGACAAUGGGUUGCCAAGUGGUAACACGGAGCUAAUCCCAUCAAACGGCUUCUCAGUGGGGAUUGGGGGCUGCAACUCGCCCUCAUGAACGCGGAAUUGGUAGUAAUCGCGAAUCAGCUAAGUCGCGGUGAAUACGUUCUCGGGUCUUGUACACACCGCCUAUAGUAAUUAUAUUUAGGAACAACGCGCCUAGCAGUUGUAUCCUCUAGUAGAUUAAAAUUCUACCUCCGAUUUAAUCGGAGUAGCCAAAAAAAUUUGACAGUCCUUAUUGGGCAACUGAUAAGGAUGGAGGGUCUGAGGCAAAUGGCAGGGAUAGUAAGUAAGGAUGCAAGCGACUUUCGCCGGGCGGUCGGAAGGAAGUUGCUGUAAAAAGUCCACUAUUCAUGCCGGGAAAAGAGGAUAUGAUAACCUAGGGAGAUCCUUAUAAGAUUGAGGUUAAGGCUUAUAGGGAAGUCAGCUUCUUCAUAUUAGGUAAUUGAGCAAGUCUGACUUGCUUGACAUUUUCGGGUUAUAUUUGUAAUCUGAAAUUAUUAUUACUGAAGGGAGAAACGUAAGUGUUAGUAACGCCUGAUUACAUUGUAGGACUCACAGAAGGUGAAGGUUGUUUUCUUGUUAGUUUGAGAAAGGAUAAUCGGAUUGAAUUUCGGUUUUUCAUAGCACAAGCAAUAGGGAAUAAACCUCUUCUUGAAGAAAUAAAAAAGUUUUUUGUAGUAGGAAGUGUCUACCAAAAAUCGAACGUAAAAGGGAAAUUGCCAGCAUAUGUAUUUGAAAUUUCAAAAAGGGAUGACAUUUACAAAGUGUUAAUUCCCUUUUUUCAAAGAUAUAAACUUAAGGGGAUUAAGGCAAGAUCCUUUUCAGUAUUUGAGGAAAUCGCAAGAUUGGUUAAAGGUAGACAAGACAAGAGAAAACUGACUAAGGAAGAACUUGAUUAUAUUACAUAUUUAAGAUCAGGGAUGAAUAAACAUUACGGCUCGCCCGGUGCGGGAAAGCCGCUCGCCGGGUGGGAACGCGCAAUAACCUCAAUGAAGCGCAAUCCGUCAAGUUAGUGAAGUUGGUAGCACCCGAAUCCCGAUAGUAUCGGGGCAAGGUGAGACCAGCGACAAGAAUUAAGUCGUAAAUGCAUUCUGCAUUUGUUGCGACCUAGGAAAGUAAUUUCCUUGUAAAAUCCAGCUGUAUCGGUGAAGCCUUUACAACUUAGGAGUAAAGGAAUAAAGAACUGGAGAGAAUAGUGAUUAUUCUCUAAAUUCUUUUAAUCUUAUAUUCUUAAUGUUGAUGGUAAUACCGAGGGAACCCUUCGACAAAGCUCAGGGCCAUAGCCACGAGCGAAGUCGAGUGGGACUCCGUAGAGACUACACGCUGGCUCCGCAAAUUUCGAAAGCAUAUUUAUUUGGUCUUUUGCACGAUGCCACAGUAAGAAGAACGACCUACCGUAUAGCUACCAAGAGCGAAUUAUUCGCUGGUAUUAUUCAACAGGGAAUAAAGGAUCUUGGUAGAAAAGCUUGGAUAUAUAAAGAAGGAAAAAAUCGUAAUCUUUGGAUUAUUGAAUUUUCCAAAGAUCUGUUAAGAAGUUUUAGAAUUAAAACAAGAAAAGAUAAGCUUGAUUUUAUACGGGGGUUUUUCGACGCUGAAGGCGGAAUGGCAAAGCAUUCUCAGGUUAGAUUUUACUUGUAUUUCUGUCAGAAGAAUAAAACAGUUCUUUUGAAGAUAAAGAAGUAUUUAGCCGAAUUGGGAAUUGAAAGUGGAGUAAUUCACAAUCCAAGUAAAAAAGUAGAUCCUGAUUAUUGGAGGUUUUUUAUCAGAGCGAAAUCAUAUAAAGACUUUGCUACGAUUAUUGACUCCAAUCAUCCGGAAAAACUUUCAAUAUUGCGGAUGAAGAUAUAGUCCAUGCCCCCGCGUACCAUUCGGUACACGGCGAUGAACCAAAUGGUUCGUUGUUCGAAAGACAGGGAAUAAACCCCGAAAAUUUCCGUUGGAAAUAACGGGGCGAGCAUGAACAAGGUAUCCGUUCUGGAAGGAGCGGAUGGAUCACCUCCUU